GGAGAGAUGGCCGAGCGGUCGAAGGCGCGCCCCUGCUAAGGGCGUAUAGGGCAAAACUCUAUCGAGGGUUCGAAUCCCUCUCUCUCCGCCA
rnacentral:tRNA from 1 species